UACCAUUCCUCAUUAUAAAAAUAAAAAGUUCUCUUUUCCUAUCUGUUACUACUUGAAGGAGCAAUGAUAUAUUUAGCAUGAACAAUCCCCGAUAAUUGUUUUUCCAUAGCGACAGUUCACAAUGGCAAGGAUGAGCACUGAACAUCUUCACAAGAUAAUUAAAGCUGCGCAAACUCUCUCCUCCUCUCUUCUUCAUACAUGGCAUUAAUCCCACAUCAAAUAGUUAUGAAAGUUGAGAAACGAACAGAACAUAUAAAUAGGAAGUUAAUGGCCAAUUGCAACAUAUUUAACUGGACGGAGUCAAAUGGUGAUCAAGAAGACUCAUGGCAUAGGAAUCUUCUCAUUGUGAGCUUUACUCCUGUAUGCUGCACAAUGCGACCUGCAUAGCCUCUGUGUCUCCAAUGAAGAUGACUGCUGCGUGGAAGGAUCUUGGUGUUGAUGAUAUUUUCUUUGCUAAUCCAAUACAUCUAUCUACUAGAAUUCCCACCACACAUGGGGCAUUUCUAAGCAUCUGUUACAAUCCAGAACCAUCAGGAAGUCGCAAAUGACUAAGAGGAUUUCAU